rnacentral:misc_RNA from 1 species
UGGUUCUGGCAUCGAUGAAGAACGCAGCGAAAUGCGAUAAGUAGUGUGAAUUGCAGAUUUAAGUGAAUCAUCGAAUUUUUGAACGCAUAUUGCGCCCUUUGGUAGUCCACUGGGCAUGUCUGUUCGAGCAUCAUAUGUACCCUGAAAACUCCGAAGCAAUGCUUCCUGCUGAGCCCGAGUUCUGGCCCUAGGGUAGAAUGGUUCUAAAAGUAAUACACGUGAUAGUGUGUGAUUUGCCGUUGCAGUACAUUGCAGCUGGCACGUUUCCCACUAUUCGUCUCUCAUGAAUGAUCUCGAAUCAGAUAGGAAUACCCGCUGA